rnacentral:rRNA from 1 species
AUGGGAUUCACCAAGGAAUUCGAGGUGCAGGCCCACGGAAACACCAAGUUGCAAGUGAUCCACACCAACGAGUUAAGGCGGCCACCAUCAUCGAGCAGUACGAGCGACACCUCGAAUUGGAGCGCCUUUGUCGGAGUUGAUGUGGAGCACACCAACGACGUUGGCCAAGGUCAGAAACCAGCCCUCGUCCAGCUCUCCGUCGACAUGGAUCAUCCGGUGCUGCUCUUUCAAUUGAGCGCCGCCGACAAGAACUGCACCAAGUUCGACAACUUCCUCGCCGACCCCAGGUACAUGUUUGUUGGCUUCUCCAUCGACGGCGACAUAGAGAUGCUCGGCCACGUCGGAUUGGAGAUUGCCCACUUCGUCGACAUCCAGAAAGAAUGGAGGGUGCCUACAGCUACCAAGCCUCUGGACUCCCUUGGGGACGCCUCGGGCAUCCUUGUCCACGACGUAGAGCUCACCAACGCAGAGAAGCAGCGCUGGGCGCGCAUGCCCCUGUCCAUGAGGCACAUCGGGUACACGGCAAAGGACGCUUAUGCUGUGUACGAGAUAUGGAGCCGCCUCACCAUCAUCCAGGAAGGGCUUCGUCGGGCAAAACUCGUCAAGAAGCAGACCAGGAAGCACGCUAGGUCCUGUGGCGACUACGACUACUGA